AACGCACCUUGCGCUCCUUGGUAUUCCGAGGAGCAUGCCUGUUUGAGUGUCUUGAAGUCAUCAACCCCUUCCGUUUCGUGCGGACCGGGUUGGAUGUGGGGGCUCUGCUGCCGUGAGGCGGCUCCCCUCAAAUGCAUCGGUUGGGCCUGCGGGUCGAACUCGACUGGGCGUUGUACCAUCCUCGCUCGACGGAGAUGUUCCCCUCCUGUGCCCUUCCCCGACCUGCCUCUCAGAGUGGCGGUCACAAGCAUAAGCUUUGAAAUCUGGCCUCAAAUCAGGUAGGACUACCCGCUGAACUUAA
rnacentral:misc_RNA from 1 species